rnacentral:rRNA from 1 species
AUGGCGUUCUUCCGGGGCCUCGCCGCGGUCUCGAGGCUGCGAUCCCGUAUGGGGCAGGAUGCCACCACGCUUGGUGGUGUGAGAUGGCUGCAGAUGCAGAGCGCUUCCGAUCUCGAUCUUAGGUCCCAGCUGCAGGAAAUGAUUCCGGAGCAACAGGACCGCUUGAAGAAACUAAAGUCAGAGCAUGGAAAGGUCCAGCUUGGAAACAUAACUGUGGACAUGGUCCUUGGUGGGAUGAGAGGGAUGACUGGAAUGCUUUGGGAAACAUCUUUACUUGACCCGGAGGAGGGUAUUCGAUUUAGAGGUCUCUCUAUUCCAGAGUGCCAGAAAGUACUGCCGGCUGCAGUUAAAGAUGGAGAACCUUUACCUGAGGGCCUCCUUUGGCUUCUUUUGACCGGAAAGGUGCCAACCAAGGAGCAAGUUGAUGCUCUAUCAAAGGAGUUGCUUAGCCGUUCGACUGUUCCAGGUUAUGUCUACAAGGCGAUAGAUGCUCUCCCUGUUACUGCUCAUCCAAUGACACAGUUUACCACAGGAGUGAUGGCACUCCAAGUUGAGAGUGAAUUUCAAAAGGCUUACGACAAGGGAAUGCCCAAAACAAAGUUCUGGGAGCCUACAUACGAAGAUUGCUUAAAUUUGAUUGCUCGGCUUCCACAAGUGGCUUCAUAUGUUUACCGGAGGAUUUUCAAGGAUGGGAAAGCUAUUGCAGCUGAUAAUACACUGGAUUACGCAGCGAAUUUUUCACACAUGCUUGGUUUUGAUGACCCAAAAAUGCUGGAGUUGAUGCGCCUAUACAUAACAAUUCACACUGAUCAUGAAGGCGGGAAUGUCAGUGCUCAUACAGGGCAUCUGGUUGGAAGUGCUCUGUCAGAUCCCUACCUUUCUUUUGCAGCGGCACUGAACGGUUUGGCUGGGCCACUGCACGGCCUGGCUAAUCAGGAAGUGUUGCUAUGGAUCAAAUCUGUAAUGGAAGAAACCGGGAGUAACAUUACAACCGACCAACUUAAGGAAUAUGUAUGGAAGACACUGAAGAGUGGAAAGGUUGUUCCUGGCUAUGGUCAUGGAGUUCUUCGUAAUACAGAUCCACGAUACUCGUGCCAAAGGGAGUUUGCGUUGAAAUAUUUACCAGAGGACCCACUUUUCCAACUGGUCUCCAAGUUGUAUGAAGUUGUGCCUCCGAUCCUCACUGAGUUAGGCAAGGUGAAAAACCCAUGGCCCAAUGUCGAUGCUCACAGUGGAGUGUUGCUCAACCACUUCGGAUUAACUGAAGCACGGUAUUACACUGUCUUGUUCGGUGUCUCAAGGAGCAUAGGAAUUGGAUCUCAGCUCAUCUGGGACCGUGCCCUUGGCCUACCGCUUGAAAGACCGAAGAGUGUAACCAUGGAGUGGCUGGAGAACCACUGCAAGAAGGCUGCGGCUUGA